GACGAACGCUGGCGGCGUGCUUAACACAUGCAAGUCGAGCGGUAAGGCCCUUUCGGGGGUACACGAGCGGCGAACGGGUGAGUAACACGUGGGUGACCUGCCCUCAGCUCUGGGAUAAGCCUGGGAAACCGGGUCUAAUACCGGAUAUGACUCCAUGACGCAUGUUGUGGGGUGGAAAGCCUUGUGCGGCUGAGGAUGGGCCCGCGGCCUAUCAGCUUGUUGGUGGGGUGAUGGCCUACCAAGGCGACGACGGUAGCCGGCCUGAGAGGCGACCGGCCACACUGGGACUGAGACACGGCCCAGACUCCUACGGGAGGCAGCAGUGGGGAAUCUUGCGCAAUGGGCGAAAGCCUGACGCAGCGACGCCGCGUGAGGGAUGACGGCC
rnacentral:rRNA from 1 species